rnacentral:antisense_RNA from 1 species
CCUUAUGGCGGCUGUACGCGGGAGACCUUCGGGUCUGCCGGCUCCGCGGUCCCGGUUCGCCAACCUGCGUACAGCUGCCACCCUU